rnacentral:rRNA from 1 species
AACGAACGCUGGCGGCAUGCCUAACACAUGCAAGUCGAACGAGACCUUCGGGUCUAGUGGCGCACGGGUGCGUAACGCGUGGGAACCUGCCCUUAGGUUCGGAAUAACUCCCCGAAAGGGGUGCUAAUACCGGAUAAUGUCUUCGGACCAAAGAUUUAUCGCCUUUGGAUGGGCCCGCGUUGGAUUAGCUAGUUGGUAGGGUAAUAGCCUACCAAGGCGACGUUCCAUAGCUGGUCUGAGAGGAUGAUCAGCCACACUGGGACUGAGACACGGCCCAGACUCCUACGGGAGGCAGCAGUGGAGAAUAUUAGACAAUGGGCGAAAGCCUGAUCCAGCAAUGCCGCGUGAGUGAUGAAUGCCUUAGGGUUGUAAAGCUCUUUUACCCGGGAUGAUAAUGACAGUACCGGGAGAAUAAGCUCCGGCUAACUCCGUG